AUAUUUUUAAACUUCCGCGCCACUUUAUUAGGUACGCCACAAGGCUACCAACAUAUUUGUCAGGGUAUUACGUCAUAGGAGAAGAACAAAGGACAUCUUACUUUCUAAGUAAUCUUCAAGGUACAGCAUUUUGUUACUAAAAUGAUUCGAAGACCAUUGACGGAAAUUACUUUGAAAUUAGAUGAUUUGCAAGAAUAUGAAGCUUUCCGAAGGGAACAGGGGAACAACUCAUCUUCGGCAGCUGAAAUGCAAGAAGAUACACCAAAAUCCUUAGGCUUGGGAACAAAAACUACUGAAGAAAUACAUAAUAGAAUUGGUUAUGCCCCCAAGAAAAAGCCUAGCGGCCCUAGCACAGUUUAGGGUUAAUAAAACAAACUUAUGCGUAGUAGCUUUUUAUUUGCAUUCCAAAAAAAUGUGAAGAAGAACAAAAAUUCUUACGUUUUAAAAUUAUGCGCAAAACGUCUUAUGCCUAUUAAAACUAUGAAUAGGUGAAGAUUGUGAAUAAGAUAUUAAAAUGCAGUGUCUUACAAAAAGAAUCAAUGUAAAUCUUUAUUUAAUUAAUGUUUAUCUUAAGCUGCUUAAUAUAAUGAAUGUUUUGAUAUGGUAA